AGAUCACACUGCACAUCCUGAGGAAAAUGACCAGAAGGAGCUUGCUGACCACACUGGAGAAAUAUGAGCUCGCUGUGAUUUGCCAACGUGAACUCAAAUCUAAUCUAAAGAAGAAGUUUCAAUGUGUAUUUGAGGGGAUCGCUAAACAAGGAAACCCAACACUUCUCAAUAAGAUCUACACAGAGCUCUACUCACAGAGGUGGAACAGGAGAGGUCAAUAAUGACAUGAGCUGAGACAGAUUGAGACAA